GGUUGUUUGGCCGAGCGGUCUAAGGCGCCUGAUUCAAGUUUACACUUAACACUCUUAGAGUGGGAUCCUCAGGUAUCGUAAGAUGCAAGAGUUCGAAUCUCUUAGCAACCA
rfam:Tetrapisispora blattae CBS 6284 chromosome 3, complete genome